AGACCACUGCUAUUGGGGUUCGAUUAAGCCAUGCGAGUGGAGGGCAGUUCGGCUGCCCCGCGUACGGCUCAGUAACACGUAGUCAACCUACCCUUGGGUCGGGUAUAACCCCGGGAAACUGGGGAUAAUCCCCGAUAGGUGGGGGUACUGUAAAAGUCCCUCUCCCAAAGCUCAGGCGCCCAAGGACGGGACUGCGGCCCAUCAGGUAGUUGGCGGGGUAACGGCCCACCAAGCCGACAACGGGUACGGGCUGUGAGAGCAGGAGCCCGGAGAUGGAGACUGAGACACGGCUCCAGGCCCUACGGGGCGCAGCAGGUGCGAAAACUUCGCAAUGCGCGCAAGCGUGAACGAGGGAACCCCAAGUGCCGAUGGUCUUUUUGAUCGUCGGCUUUUCGAAGAGUUCAAAACGCUCUUGGAAUGAGAAGCGGGGUAAGACUGGUGCCAGCCGCCGCGGUAACACCAGCAGCUCAAGUGGUGGUCGCGAUUAUUGGGCCUAAAGCGUCCGUAGCCGGGGCCAGUAAGUCCUUUGUGAAAUCGGGCGGCUCAACCCGUUCGGCUUGCAGGGGAAACUACAGGCCCUUGGGGCCGGUAGACGUUGAGGGUACUCCGGGGGUAGCGGUGAAAUGCUCUAAUCCCUGGGGGACCACCAGUGGCGAAGGCGCUCAACGAGAACGGACCUGACGGUGAGGGACGAAGGCUAGGGGAGCGAACCGGAUUAGAUACCCGGGUAGUCCUAGCUGUAAAGUAUGCUGGCCAGGUGUAGGGCGCUCCACGAGGGCGCCCGGUGCCGUAGGGAAGCCGUUAAGCCAGCCGCCUGGGAAGUACGGCCGCAAGGCUGAAACUUAAAGAAAUUGGCGGGGGAGCACCACAAAGGGGUGGAGCCUGCGGUUUAAUUGGAUUCAACGCCGGACAACUCACCGGGGGCGACGGCAGUUUGAUGGCCAGGUCGACGACCUUGCUUGACGAGCCGAGAGGUGGUGCAUGGCCGCCGUCAGCUCGUACUGUGAAGCGUCCUGUUAACCCAGGCCACGAGCGAGACCCUCAUCUCUAGUUGCCACCAGUUAAAUGCUGAGCACUCUAGGGAGGACCGCUGUCGCUAAGGCAGAGGAAGGAGAGGGCGACGGUAGGUCCGUAUGCCCCGAAUCCCCCGGGCUACACGCGGGCUACAAUGCGCAGGACAAAGAGCUGCGACUCCGUAAGGAGGAGCCAAACUCAUAAACCUGCGCCUAGUUCGGGUCGAGGGCUGAAACUCGCCCUCGUGAAGCUGGAAUCCCUAGUAAUCGCGUGCCAUUAUCGCGCGGUGAAUACGUCCCUGCUCCUUGCACACACCGCCCGUCAAACCAUUCGAGUGGGGUUUGGAUGAGGCCCGUCUCAGUUGGACAGGUCGAAUCCGGGUUCUGCAAGAAGGGUUAAGUCGUAAC
rnacentral:rRNA from 1 species